UCCCUGGUAGUAUAUCGGUUAGUACACGCGCCUGUCAUCAGCAUCUUGCAAUCUGAUCGCGCGAAAGCUGGGUUCGACUCCCAGCCAGGGAG